rnacentral:lncRNA from 1 species
GAUAGAGGUGACUUGCUUGGAAUUCACUAUGGGAACCCCAAUGACCUUGACAUUUCUGUGGUCAUCCUGUCUCUUGACUGCCAAAGUCACAGGUGUGCACCAGUACGCCCAACUCAAAAUCCAUUCUUCACAUGUUGCUUCUUCAGAAAUUCUUACAGAGAACGAAGAAGAUGUAAUUGAGGCAAAGUGGGUGUGCUGUGAAUGGAUGUAAGGGUUGAGUUGUUGGCCGGCUGUGUAUGUCAUCAAGCAACCAACUACAAAAUGAAAAACAUCAUCUUGAGUGAGUCAAUCGAUCAGAACUUCGGAUUCUCCUGCCCCACCUUCCCAAGUGCAACACUUCACUCGGCUGCCUGUCCAUUUCCCCAUCUUCUGAAGCUGAGGCCCCUAGACCUUCCUCUGCAUGCUGAAACCUGCUCCAUCUGCAUCCAGGGCUGGGCUGCCUGGCUCCCACAGGUGAGGAUGUCUACAGAAGCUUGCUUGGGAUAUUCCCUCUACCCACUUCCAAUGUCCGGCUCUUGUCUAUGUCUCCAGACCUGGAAGAAAAACCCACCCCUAGGAUAUGGGGCUGGAAAACUUGGAGGUCUUCAUAGGAUCAUGAGAUACCCCUGCCUCAGCCUCAUGAGUGCUGGGAUUUCAGGGCACGACAUCAAAUGCAGGAUUUGA